rnacentral:lncRNA from 1 species
AUCAUUAUGGUGUCAGUAUAAAGGAAUUAAGUGGAGAUCAAACACUAACUCAUCAAGAGAUUGAAGGAAGCUAAAAGGCAAUAAGACGAUUACCCGCAUUUUGCUAACAACUUAUUACGAUGGGCGCAAGUAUUACAUUUUCCGUACCAUACAUGGCACUAGUCUUUCAUCGGGUUGAAUAAGUUCAAGUAUGUUAAGGCUAGCCCUUAUUUUUUUUGACAUGAUUUUGUCAUUGUAUUCAUAUUCCCGAAUUUAUAUAUAUUUUGCUAGUUUUGCAAGUUACAUAUAUUUUCCUUAUAUUGUAAGUUAUAAUAAUCUUCUUAUCGGUACUUCAUAUUCAGUUGAGUAUUUAUUUCUUCCAGUCAAGAGAGCAUAGAGUUUAUAUAUACAAUAUUAAAAGUAUUUUCAUUAUUAUCAAGCUAUAAUCGAUGGGCAGGCUCCUAUUGGUCAAC